rnacentral:tRNA from 1 species
ACGCCGUGCGGGCGGCGGGCGGCGACCUGGUCGGCCCAGGACCGUCCGGGGGUGAGCCGCCCGGCGCUCUCGCUGAGCACCACGCUCAGCCCGGCGUCCC